rnacentral:rRNA from 1 species
ACGUACUGUGCGAACGUUAUUCGGAAUCACUGGGCUUAAAGGGUGCGUAGGCGGCGAUUCAAGUCAGAUGUGAAAUGCCUGAGCUCAACUGAGGCAUUGCGUUUGAAACUGAAUUGCUAGAGUAUCCUAGGGGUGUGCGGAACUGCCAGUGGAACGGUGAAAUGUGUUGAUAUUGGCAGGAACACCGGAGGCGAAAGCGGCACACUGGGGGAUAACUGACGCUGAGGCACGAAAGCCAAGGGAGCGAACGGGAUUAGAUACCCCGGUAGUCUUGGCCGUAAACGAUGAGUACUGGGCGGGAGGGGGUUUCCCCUUUCUGCCGUAGCGAAAGCGUUAAGUACUCCGCCUGGGGAGUACGGUCGCAAGAUUA